AUCCAGCUGACGAGUUCCAAAUAAGACGAAACGUAUGUCAAACAGAAU
rnacentral:hammerhead_ribozyme from 1 species